rnacentral:rRNA from 1 species
AUUGAACGCUGGCGGCAGGCCUAACACAUGCAAGUCGAACGAGUGGCGGACGGGUGAGUAAUAUCUGGGAACCUGCCUGAUGGAGGGGGAUAACUACUGGAAACGGUAGCUAAUACCGCAUACCAUCGGAUGUGCCUAUAUGGGAUUAGCUUUUUGGUGGGGUAACGGCUCACCAAGGCGACGAUCCGUAGCUGGUCUGAGAGGAGGACCAGCCACUCUGGAACUGAGACACGGCCCAGACCCCGACGGGAGGCAGCAGUGGGGAAUUUUGGACAAUGGGCGCAAGCCGGAUGCAGCCAUGCCGCGUGUAUGAAGAAGGCCUUCGGGUUGUAAAGUACUUUCGGCAGGGAGGCGGUACCCGCAGAAUAAGCACCGGCUAACUCCGUGCCAGCAGCCGCGGUAAUAC